rnacentral:lncRNA from 1 species
AAGCUUUGCAGUAAUUAAUUUACGUGGUGUUUCCACAAACAAAACCAUUAAAAUGAAAUGAAAUGAAAUAAAAUCUAACAAUCUAACCAACUAACGUGCAACCAAAUUAAAACUAAUCCAUUCACAUGCAGAGUGGACGCGACAGUUACCAGUCAAGCCACUUGCCAAUGUCCCCACGACACUCCCCCCGUGUGUCCUCCCGCAGACUGUCACUUGGUUCGCCCAGGUCUGGCUCACCUCGGGCUUCGACUCGAACCUCACCCCGAGAAGAAACUGUUCAGAUUGCGAAAGUUAACAGUGUCGAGGUACUUAAACUCAUUCUUUACUACUAACUAAACUACUAACUAAAAAUAAAAUAAUCAUAAUUAAAUUUAAAGUUUAUGUCAAUCAGCAUGAUUUUGUAUCAGAUAUACAAACUCCUUCGCGCUCAUGAUUUCUUUUGUGUUUUCUUCAUGAAUUAUUAAUGAGUUUCACAAGUACUAAGUUAAAACAUGAGCAGCCGAUCUUUAUCUGAUAUACAAACCCGAAGGCGAGAGUUUG